rnacentral:rRNA from 1 species
GGGUGAGUAACACGUAGGUAACCUGCCCCGGAGCGGGGGAUAACAUUUGGAAACAGAUGCUAAUACCGCAUAACAACGAAAGCCACAUGGCUUUUGUUUGAAAGAUGGCUUUGGCUAUCACUCUGGGAUGGACCUGCGGUGCAUUAGCUAGUUGGUAAGGUAACGGCUUACCAAGGCGAUGAUGCAUAGCCGAGUUGAGAGACUGAUCGGCCACAAUGGAACUGAGACACGGUCCAUACUCCUACGGGAGGCAGCAGUAGGGAAUCUUCCACAAUGGGCGCAAGCCUGAUGGAGCAACACCGCGUGAGUGAAGAAGGGUUUCGGCUCGUAAAGCUCUGUUGUUGGAGAAGAACGUGCGUGAGAGUAACUGUUCACGCAGUGACGGUAUCCAACCAGAAAGUCACGGCUAACUACGUGCCAGCAGCCGCGGUAAUACGUAGGUGGCAAGCGUUAUCCGGAUUUAUUGGGCGUAAAGCGAGCGCAGGCGGUUGCUUAGGUCUGAUGUGAAAGCCUUCGGCUUAACCGAAGAAGUGCAUCGGAAACCGGGUGACUUGAGUGCAGAAGAGGACAGUGGAACUCCAUGUGUAGCGGUGGAAUGCGUAGAUAUAUGGAAGAACACCAGUGGCGAAGGCGGCUGUCUGGUCUGCAACUGACGCUGAGGCUCGAAAGCAUGGGUAGCGAACGGGAUUAGAUACCCUGGUAGUCCAUGCCGUAAACGAU